UCACCCGUCAAUUUGGUUGUGAAAUCUUUUCGAAACGGGAUAUCACAGCCAUUUUGACGAGUUGAG
rnacentral:pre_miRNA from 1 species